rnacentral:lncRNA from 1 species
UUUUUGACCUUUCUUUCUUGAUUCUUGAAGAAGCUAAGAACCUUUUUUGAUCCAUCAACUAAUCAAGAAGAACAACAAACAAGAAGUGGUUAUAACUAACUCCCGAUAAAUUUGAGGAAAAAAAGAUGAAAUCAGCAACAACUUGGCAUCAACCAUUGACACCAAGGAAGGGAUGCUGCCCACCUCUCUUCUAGCUCCAAGAGGGAUGCCUAGAGAGAGAGGAUGUGGGCUAG